CUGCGCCAGCAUUUAUUGAUAUGUCAAGAAGAUGAGACAGUUGUCUUCUCGAACUUGGAGGAUUAUCCAAUCCUUAGAACUAGAAGUGCCAAUCUUGAUUCCAUUUAUCUUAAUAUCGAAUCAGCUCUCCAUAAAAUGGUACCACAAUAGAGAUGACUUGUCCCGGGCCAGAAUCCAAUAUACCAUCCUGAAGUCACCUCGUGAUGAUUCGUGUGUUUGGAGGAUGUCUGUCGAGAUUGUUUCUUUCGCAUCAGUGAGAUUUCCCAUGCAUUUUAACAUGAAUCUAUACCUCUGUUAGGGAUAUGAUUGAUGUGGCUGCUCUAGUACUAGUGCUG